rnacentral:rRNA from 1 species
GUGGGGAAUAUUGCACAAUGGGCGAAAGCCUGAUGCAGCAACGCCGCGUGAGGGACGACGGCCUUCGGGUUGUAAACCUCUUUUAGUAGGGAAGAAGCGAAAGUGACGGUACCUGCAGAAAAAGCACCGGCUAACUACGUGCCAGCAGCCGCGGUAAUACGUAGGGUGCAAGCGUUAUCCGGAAUUAUUGGGCGUAAAGAGCUCGUAGGCGGUCUGUCGCGUCUGCUGUGAAAACUGGAGGCUCAACCUCCAGCCUGAGGUGGGGACGGGCAGACUAGAGUGCGGUAGGGGAGAGUGGAAUUCCUGGUGUAGCGGUGGAAUGCGCAGAUAUCAGGAGGAACACCGAUGGCGAAGGCAGAUCUCUGGGCCGUAACUGACGCUGAGGAGCGAAAGCGUGGGGAGCGAACAGGAUUAGAAACCCGAGUAGUCC